rnacentral:tRNA from 1 species
UCCGAUAUGGUGUAGUGGCUAACAUUAUCGCCUCUCACGCGAUAGCUCGGGUUCGAUUCCCCGUGUCGGAA